ensembl:snRNA U6 U6 spliceosomal RNA
GUGCUCGCUUUGACAGCACAUGUACUAAAUGGGAACGAUGCAGCGAAUAUUAGCAUGGCCCCUGCAUAAGAAUGACACACAAAUUCAUGAAGCACUACAUAUCUUU